rnacentral:rRNA from 1 species
AGUGAACGCUGGCGGUAGGCCUAACACAUGCAAGUCGAACGGCAGCACAGUAAGAGCUUGCUCUUACGGGUGGCGAGUGGCGGACGGGUGCGGAAUACAUCGGAAUCUACUUUUUCGUGGGGGCUAACGUAGGGAAACUUACGCUAAUACCGCUUACGACCUACGGGUGAAAGCAGGGGAUCUUCGGACCUUGCGCGAUCCAAUGAGCCGAUGUCGGAUUAGCUAGUUGGCGGGGUACAGGCCCACCAAGGCGACGAUCCGUAGCUGGUCUGAGAGGAUGAUCAGCCACACUGGAACUGAGACACGGUCCAGACUCCUACGGGAGGCAGCAGUGGGGAAUAUUGGACAAUGGGCGCAAGCCUGAUCCAGCCAUACCGCGUGGGUGAAGAAGGCCUUCGGGUUGUAAAGCCCUUUUGUUGGGAAAGAAAAGCAGCAGGUUAAUACCCCGCUGUUCUGACGUUACCCAAAGAAUAAGCACCGGCUAACUUCGUG